CUCUAGAGAACCUCUCUCUCUCUCUCUCUCUCUCUCUCUCUAUAUAUAUAUAUAUAUAUAUAUAUAUAUAUAUAUAGAGAGAGAGAGAGAGAGAGAGAGAGAGCUAACACUAAU
rnacentral:miRNA from 1 species